AUAAAUAUACUUUCAGGAACUUUUUUCUUCCCAGUAAAGUAAUACCAUUAUUGAUCAGUAGAUGAUAUUUAUCCUGAAAAAUCCGUUUUCAAUAUGCUAUCCCGCUAACUGCAUAUACUUUACUUCAGCUAUAGUCCGUUGUUAUACUACCUAAUUACUAUUUAAAAUAAGUACUUGGAUAGUUUUUUAAAAACUAUCCAGUUGAUAACGAUCGUGUUCACCACAAUGCGCCAUAGGUGGCGUGCACUUUCCACCAGCACAUUUUUGGCUCUUUACCACUUUCGUGCAAUUUCCGCUCGUUAUCGUAAUAUUGGAUGUAGGUGAAUUGCGGCCCAGCGUGUUAUUUUUGAUGUCGAGACCAGUGAAUUCCGGUCCAGUACAACUUUUGGCUAUAGGAUAGUUACAACCCGAAAAACCCUUU